rnacentral:piRNA from 1 species
UGACUUUGGUAAAGGAAAAAC